UACGUAGGCAGCAAGCGUUGUUCGGAGUUACUGGGCGUAAAGAGUGCGUAGGCGGUUCUGUAAGUUUGGUGUGAAAUCUCCCGGCUCAACUGGGAGGGUGCGCCGAAGACUGCAGGGCUUGAGUAUGGGAGAGGUAAGCGGAAUUCCUGGUGUAGCGGUGAAAUGCGUAGAUAUCAGGAGGAACACCUGUGGUGUAGACAGCUUACUGGACCAACACUGACGCUGAGGCACGAAAGCGUGGGUAGCAAACAGG
rnacentral:rRNA from 1 species